GACGAACGCUGGCGGCGUGCCUAAUACAUGCAAGUCGAGCGCGUGAAAUACAACAGAACCUUCGGAUGACGUUGUAUGGAUCGAGCGGCGAACGGGUGAGUAACACGUGGGCAACCUGCCUACAAGACUGGGAUAACUCCGGGAAACCGGGGCUAAUACCGGAUAAUCCAUCGAACCGCAUGGUUCUAAAGUAAAAGAUGGUUUUGCUAUCACUUAUAGAUGGACCCGCGCCGUAUUAGCUAGUUGGUAAGGUAACGGCUUACCAAGGCGACGAUACGUAGCCGACCUGAGAGGGUGAUCGGCCACACUGGAACUGAGACACGGUCCAG
rnacentral:rRNA from 1 species